rnacentral:rRNA from 1 species
UACGUAGGGGGCAAGCGUUGUCCGGAUUUAUUGGGCGUAAAGAGCGUGUAGGCGGCCUGAAAGGGCAGCUGUGAAAACUCGAGGCUCAACCUCGAGACGUCGGUUGAAACCAUCUGGCUAGAGUCCGGAAGAGGAGUGUGGAAUUCCCGGUGUAGCGGUGAAAUGCGCAGAUAUCGGGAAGAACACCCGUGGCGAAGGCGGCUCUCUGGGACGGUACUGACGCUGAGACGCGAAAGCGUGGGGAGCGAACAGG